UGUACAUAAAUGAUAUUAAUGUAUUGUGAAGUAUAACUUUUGGAUGUCUCUUAAAAUCUAUUUUCUAUCUUUUUUCUUGGAAUGAAGUCUAGAGAACACUCUUCUGGCUCCUCUGAAGUCAAGUGUGAUGGUGUGACUAUGUUCAGAACAGUGGAUUAUGAGCUGAAAUGUCUUUGUUAUGUCUACUCACCUUUUGAUCUUCCUCUUCUGGGUAGACAGAAGGCAAGGGUGGAUCUGUGAAAUAGAAGGAGCACUGACCCCUCAGCCAUCGUGUGGAGGAGCUGAUUGGUCGUGAACUCUCACUAUGGACGUGAGCCUGUGAAAAUGACUUCUAUGGACAGAACAUGCUGGAUUACAGAAUCAUGGAGCAGAAAUAAAUGAUCUGAUUUAUGACAAUUAGCAUGGGGAGAGGAAACAGAGAUGGUCACUGGGAGCCAGCAAGAAUGAAUUAUUCCACUAAUUCUCUUUCUUCCCAGAUUUUCUUGAAUUUGAAUCCCAGCUUUAAUAAUAUGCCUAUGGAUAUUAAUAGGCUUUACAAGGCUGUUGCCAAGUGAUUGCAUAUCAACAUAAACUGUGAAACUUCAGUGCUUGUUUUGUUUGGUUGUGCUACAACACACUUCAAUCCAAGAAGCAUUUGUUUGUUCGAAACUACCAGGCACCUAUCAUCAUACUGCAUGUUAUUUGUAAACCGUAGCUUGUUGGGAAAAUAGUAAGUAUCCAAUGUAGAUCUGACUGAUUAAUGCAUAAGAAAUGGCAUCUGCUUUCAAGGAACUUAGAACUUGCAUGGUUAAAAGUAUUUUGCAUAUUUCGAAGGAAAGCAAUUUACUUACAUGAUCUCUGGCAAAUCUGGUUCUUAGCAAAGUUAAAAGCUUAGAAAGAAGAAAGGACUAAUUGUUACUAAGUCCUUAAUACAUGCUGAACACUUACCAACAUACAUUAUACUUUGGCCUUACCACAGACCUGAAGGCCUGGUUUUAUCCCGUUUUCAGGGGGGAGAAACUGAGGGUCAGAGAAGCUUGGAGACUUGCCCACGUUUACACCUAGUAAGUGGAGAGUGAGGCUUUGCCGGCAAACGCGCUGAAUGAAGGUUUGUUUCCCUACAAAGAUGCUGCUUUCAUUGCUGCUCUAGUUCACUAAGUCUGCAUGCCAAGCCCUGGGGCAGGCUCCCAUUGUUCAGUCCCAGUUAUUGCUGCUGAAUGUGAGUGUUCAGAUUCUCCUGCCAAUGCCUUACCAGCCUCGGGGAGGAACAGCUCAGCGUGAUGAUCUAACUCUUCCGUUUUGUAGCAACAUCUUCUUUUCCUACUUUGCACACCAUGUCAUCCACUCCAGUUAUUAUCUUUAUGUGGCUCCAAUCCCACACCUCUCUUCUGGGCACUCCUACCUGAAGAGACUUCUAAUUCGGCACAUUCCAAAUCAAAAUCGUUUGUCUCUCUCCUCUUCCAUACGCUCAAGGUUGAGGGGUGAGCAACUGGCUUCUUUCCCCCCUGUUGUUACCCUUUCUAGGUCAAUGUCAUCCUCAGCAGUGGAUGUUCACAGACAGAAAGAAAGCUAUUUUUGCUUCUCUGCUUUACUUUACUCCUUCACUUACUGAAAGAACCAAGUCCUAUAGAGUCUCCCCGCGGCAACCAUAACUCCCUUUCUCCCACAUCUCCACUGCUACCACCAUCAGCUUUUAUGGCCUCCAACUUCAGCAAUUCUGUGAGCUUCCUAGAGGGUUUCAUCAGCUGAAGUUUCUUUGUGUUUCACUUCAACCCCUUCAUGCCUUCAGCCUCUCUCUCUCUCUCUCUCUCUCUCUCUCUCUGUCUCUCUGUCUCUCUCUCUCUCUCUCUCUCUCUCUCUCUCUCUCUCACACACACACACACACACACACACACACACACACACACACACACACACACACACACACACACCCACAUGCACCUGCCACUCCGGCUUCAAUUUGCAGUUCACCCAAGUCAAUCCCAGUCUGUUUUGUCCACUUUCCUCAGCCCCUUCCUCUGACCCCAACAACUCCAGGGUCCAAUGAGGCAAAAUCUUGCCAUCAGUUGAAGACAUCAAACACAUCUGUACCUCAAACUAUCUUUGUAUUGUUUUCUCCUCAGAGAAAGAACUCGAGUGUUAGUAGCUAGUGAGCUCUUCCUUGACAUCAGCUGACUGACUCUGAGAUGGUGCUGCUUCCACUUUCCUGGGUGAUUGCUUUCCCACUUGACAUACAUCUUACAUUUUAAUGGUCUUAAUGAUCAAUCAUCAUUUUAAAAAUUGUGUUGAUUAUACAGUUCUAAUCUAAGCAUUCUAUAACAUCAUCGAUAUUAAAUAUUCAUUCUUUAACAAUGAACUGUUUUGAGUUCAUUGUUAUACCAAAAAAGUAUAAUUAAUAAUUUAAUGAUGUCAAUGGACCUACUCUUCAGGUUGGCCAAAUUUCUUUUAAUCCAAAAAGCAGAAGGUUUCAGAUAUAUUGAAGGCUUCUGUGUGUCUCUCAUUUCUUCUCUUGCCAAAGACAUCUGCUACGUGGACUGUGGUGAGUUUCCAGAAACUAUGUGUUCUUACAUUUACUAUAUGCAGGUAUCUCCAUAACCAAUAACUUCACAGUUUUUUUAAAAAAGAUUUUAAAAAUAUGAUAAUGCCACCCUUGCCUGUAUCAUGCCACAACAGAAGUUUACAUUUUGCUCACUACUACUGUGUUUGGGGGAUUUAGCCACACUGGUCACUUUAGGGCCCAUCAGGGCACUCAUUUGUUAAAAUACAGUUGUCUUCUCUUCAUGGUAGUUUUGCUUUUUAUAGUUUCAGUUAUCCUCCUGGUCAACUAUACCCCAAAAAUGUUAUGUAGGAAAUCCCAGAAACAAUUCAUCAGUUUAAAUUAUGCAUUGUUUUUAAGGUGUAAUGAGAUUUCUUACUAUCUAGAUCCGUCCUGUCUAGGUGUCUUAGGGUUUCUAUCGCUGUGAAGAGACACCAUGACCAAAGCAACUCUUAUAAAGUAAACAUUUAAUUGGGGUGGCUCACUUACAGUUUCAGAAGUUCAGUCCACUGUCAUCAUGACAGGGAGCAUGGUGGUUUGCGGGCAGAUGUAGUGCUGGACCUGGGAGUGCUACAUCUUACAGGCAACAGGAAGUCAACUUAGAUACUGGGCGGUGUCCUGAGCUACCCCCACAGUGGCACACUUCCUCCAACAAGGCCACACCCACACCAACAAGCCACACCUCCUAAUAGCGCCAUUCCCUAUCAGAUUAUGGGGGCUAAUUACAUUCAAACUAUCACACUAGGACAUCAGUCAUCCAUUGUCUAAUGUGUCCAAACUGUAUAGCUACCCAUCUAUUAGUCCCCCAGUGGCCAUCUUCACAGACCCUCUGUUGGAGUCUUAUAAUGCUUGUAUAGGGAUUCAAGAAGAUCUCAAUUUCAAGCAUUGACUGGGGGCUUUUGGAAAUAUCCCCUGUGAAUAAGGGACAAUUAGACAAUAGAUCAUUAUCUUUUUCUUUUUCACUUUCUCACCAUGGGCCUCAAGGAUCCAAUACUUUCAUAGUAUCUUCCAGAUUCACAAAAUCGCCACGUGAUUUUUUCUUAUUAUUUUUUUAAAUUUUUGGUGCAUUAUCUGUAACAUAAAGCUAACAAUUUGAACUAUUACUAUUUUAAAUGUGUGUGUAGUGGUAUUCAAUACAUCUCCACUGCUGUGCAACCUUCACCCCCUUCCAUCUCCAGAAUUUUGUCAUCUUCCAACCCCAAAUUCUGUGUGCUUUAGACUCUAACCAUGCAUCCUCCCUCCAGCUUCUUUCUACUGCCAUUCUGUUUCCUGUCUUUAUGAAUUUGAUUAUUCUAAAUAUCUUAUAAAGUAGACACACAAGACCGUCCCAUAGGGCUUAGUAUGAUGUCAUCAAGGUUCAGUCAUGUUAUGUCUUGUGUCAGAACUGCAUUCCUUCUGAAGGCUGAAUAAUGUUCCAUGACAUGCAUAUACCACUUUCCCUCUGAUUUCUUUUGUUUUUAUGCCUUUGUACCAGCUGAGUGACGGCCUAGCUAAACCAAAUAGACAAACAAAACUGUACACAACGAGCAGAUAGAGAUUUUCUAGGAUGGUCCCCAGGCACAACACUAUGGCAUGGCAUGCUUGAAAAAACAACAGGUUAGGUGAGGCUGUUUUAGUGUGCUUCAGCUGGGUGGUCCUAGAAACUGGCCUUGACUUUCCAAACAUUAGUUCCCUCAUCUAAUCUAAAAUAACAAAGCCGUUCUGCCAUUCUAAGCCUGUAGUUUUAGGAGUGUCCUUAAAUGCAUUGUCCUAAAGUUAAUAUUGAAAGUAGAUGCAAAGGCACUGUAACAAAAUAAGGGAAAUAUUUGGGGGAAGACUCAGCAGUCCCCUCAACACAGAGGCAGCUCACACUGUGAGUAAAGCUAACAUUAGAUACUUCAACCUCCAAUGGCUGUUUGUCUAGAGUUGACUGAACCUAGAAAAAUUCCUAUCAUUUAUGUUGUAGCUUUCUUCUUGGGCCCUGAGAUCAUCCAAAUCUAGUUAGAUUUGUUGGUUUGUUUCAUUUUUCGUUGAAACUUAAUUACAUAGACUAUUUCAAUAGAGGAACUAAAUUCAGUAUUUUUGUAUAUUGUAGAUUUUCUUCUUUACUGCUGUAAUUCUCUAGAUCCUUUUACUUUCUCUACUUAGAAGUGUUUCUCUCAACUUACCCUUGAUUUAUAUAGUUGUUCCCAACAGCACCUAAGAGCAUCCUCAGACAGUGAACACAGAUGGAGAGACGUGGGAAAAGAGAGAGUAACAGUGGGGCUUCCUUGCGCUCCUCUGGAACCUGUCUGAAGAAUGGUCUGGAAAGGAGGGAAGAACUUUGGAGACCCCACCCAUCCCAAACUGUAUCCUUCGUCAUAUCUGUGCUGCUGUUGUUCUUGCUUCUAACUGCUUCUUCCAUGGGCUUGAUGCAGAAUAAAACAGCGCAUAUUUUUUAUUGUGAACACUUUCUUCAUGUAUGUGCUUUGAAAAUUGAGCCAGCUGGACACAUGUGGCACUAAUUCAUUAAUUUUAACUGCAGCACACAUUAUCUUUUAUGAAUGGGGCAUGAGUUAUUUAAUCUGUUCUUUUGUUAACAACCUGUCUUUAAUUUGUCACUCCAACAUUUCUCUAUGAACAUAUGUGGGUCUCUUAAAACCUUAUCAUUUGAUUUCUGUUUUAGAAAUCUGCUUUAUUUAUUUAUUCAAAAAAGAAUUUCUAUGAAAUCCAAAGUUUCUUCAUUCAAUAGAAAUAAUUUAAAUGUUUGCUGAGUACAGAAAAAAAAACAGGAAACAAUCUGUUCUCUAGGAGGAGCUGCUGGAGUAGGACAGCAGUCAAAUCAUAACGCAAAGAAACAUACAUUGCAAGCGUAAUGAAUGAAUUGAAGAAAAGUGGUGUCACUGUGUAAGAAUCCACUUGGCUUAGGGCAUCAGUGAUCAUUUUUCUAAUGGUAGGUCUAAAAGAGGGAAGAGGAGUGAGUCAAUCAUCCUGGUGAAGGAUUUGAGGUUUGAGCUGGGUGAACGGUGAGAAAAUGGCAGAAGCAGAGGAACUUCAGAUCCACAGGUCUAGGACAGAGAAAGUGGACAAUGAAGAAAGACGGCCUCUGUGUCUGGGACAAGCUUAGGGAAAUAUAAGAAUAGAUGAGAGAAGCCAAGAAGAUGGCUGAAGUCACAGAAGACAUUUGACUUCUGCUCUAAAGUAGUGGAAUUAGUGUAAAGCAAGGCAGAAAUAUGGUAUUUUUUAAUACAAAGGACUAACACUAUAUUUGAGUUUCCAAACCACAAGUUCACCGGGUCCUGUAUAGUAGUCUUUGAUGGAACCUUUAUAUCAGUUUAGCUAAGCCCACAGGCUAAUGCUAAAUACCUUGCAGUCACUGGCAGGACUCCCUCCUUUUCUAGAUGACUGAGCAGAGGAAAUGCUUGGAAGUUAGAGCUUGUGCUUUUACAGCAGAAUGCAUAGCAGAGAAAGUUCAAAGGUGGAUAGUAUCCCCAGAGAGCUGAAAGUUCUCAGAGAAGAAGGCAAACAGACAAGAAGGGUGGUAAUAAGGAAAGGCGUGUCCAUGGAAAAGAAAGAGAUGGGAAUAAAGGAAGGAUGGGAUCCUAGAAGUCUCCUGGUCCAGUGAGUACAGAAAUCAGGAUGGACAAGGGCAACACAAGGAUAAAGUAUUAGUAGAAACAUCAGUUGAAAUUUGGAGGGAAAAUGUAGCUCUUAGGCUGUCCAAAUGGACCAAACAGUCCAUGAAAUGGACAACCCAUCCAGCCGCUAAAAUUAUGUGGUCUCCAGAUCUAAGCAUCUUUAGACACAGCCCAUAAGCAAUUCCCUUCCUUAGAAAAUCAAAGUCAUGAUCUGUUACCUAUGGUACCAUCAUUUAGUAGUUCACUCGGUAACUCAACUCGGACUGCCACCUACUCCCUGGACUUCAUGGCUGUCUUGGCUCAAAACACACUGAACACUACCAUGGAUCCUAAAGAACCAGCCUUCACUGCCCCACCAGUUAGCAAUGUGUGUCCCUCUUCACAAGGUUUUAGUUGUA